rnacentral:rRNA from 1 species
UGGGGAAUUUUGCACAAUGGGGGAAACCCUGAUUCAGCGACGCCGCGUGAUUUAGAAGGCCUUCGGGUUGUAAAAAUCUUUUCUAUGUGCAGAAAAUGACAGUACCAUAGGAAUAAGGACCGGCUAAUUACGUGCCAGCAGCCGCGGUAAUACGUAAGGUUCGAGCGUUGUCCGGAAUCAUUGGGCGUAAAGGGUACGUAGGCGGGUAAGUAAGUUAGAAGUGAAAUCCUAUAACUCAACUAUAGUAAGCUUUUAAAACUGCUCAUCUUGAGGUAUGGAAGGGAAAGUGGAAUUCCUAGUGUAGCGGUGAAAUGCGCAGAUAUUAGGAGGAAUACCGGUGGCGAAGGCGACUUUCUGGCCAUAACCUGACGCUGAGGUACGAAAGCGUGGGUAGCAAACAGG